GAAGGCCAGUCUUACAGCUCUUAUAUGGGGCUGACUCGAGGACAGAUGCAUGGCUUCCCCGGAUGGGAAACAGCUCCUUACAUUAAAUGGACAAGACUCAGCCUUGGAACACACGUGUACCCAGAAAGUAGAGCUACUGCAGUGAGGGGAAUUGCAAAGACAGAUGAGGAAUGUGUCCUCUCCACCUCCACAUUAAUAGUGUCAUCCCCUGGUGUGAAAAGAAACUGCAUUAGAUUAAAGGGAAGAACAAAGGAGCACAACAUGUUGCUCAAGAAAUGUCAAGGAAGUGGGACAGUGGGCAUGAGGUAGUCUACAAAAUCUAAGUGAAAAGGUUUGUCUUCAGUGGCUUGAAAAACAAAAUCAUCUGGGCUGCCAAUUAAGAAUGCGUACCGGCUUGUCAGAAUGCCAGUGGUUUGUUGAUUAUUCACAAUAAAAUUGGUGUUGAUCUUUCCUUGCAUUCUGGCUAAUGGGAAAGCAAGACAUGGUCAGGGGAGGCCAGAGUCAUGCAGCCCCGGGAAGAAGGAUGUCUGCUUCCUGUCCUUAGCUGUUAGGAUGGUGACAGGGACAGACAGAUUGUCCCUCCCACCUGCCUUCUCUGUUCUCCUCCUCUGUUCACUCCCUCACAGGUUUCCUUCUUGAAUUCCUGCUAUGUCUCCUAGAAGCACAGUGACCUUCGGAUGUGUGCGCACCUGCAGUUUUGCUUAGUGGCACUUUUUUUUUUGCCUGUCUCUUUAGGAACAAGUACACACAUACUUUCAUUCCUUCCACACUCUCAGAGGAAAGGCAGGGCUGAGGGGAGCAAGUGGAGGAGAAACACAAUUUGGCAGAAACCCUAGGAGAGAAUGAGUUCCACAGAUUUCUUCAGUUCCAGCUUCCUGUCCUCCAGUUUCCUAAAUCAGUCAGACAAGCCAAGGCCCUGCCCCCUAAGAUGCAUAGAGUCCCCAAGGCCACUGUGGGAAAAUGGGGGAGCUACACAUCAUUUUCUCUGCAAAUUGUCAGAGGAAGAUUCAUGCAGGAAGAACCGAAACACAAAUCAUUAUCUCCAAAUUAUUGGCGGGAAAUCAAAUUAAUGCUUGAGGCUUUAAAAAUGAGUGGGCUAAUGUGAAGGC
rnacentral:lncRNA from 1 species